rnacentral:rRNA from 1 species
AACGAACGCUGGCGGCAGGCUUAACACAUGCAAGUCGAACGCCCCGCAAGGGGAGUGGCAGACGGGUGAGUAACGCGUGGGAAUCUACCCAUCUCUACGGAACAACUCCGGGAAACUGGAGCUAAUACCGUAUACGCCCUACGGGGGAAAGAUUUAUCGGGGAUGGAUGAGCCCGCGUUGGAUUAGCUAGUUGGUGGGGUAAAGGCCUACCAAGGCGACGAUCCAUAGCUGGUCUGAGAGGAUGAUCAGCCACAUUGGGACUGAGACACGGCCCAAACUCCUACGGGAGGCAGCAGUGGGGAAUAUUGGACAAUGGGCGCAAGCCUGAUCCAGCCAUACCGCGUGAGUGAUGAAGGUCUUAGGAUUGUAAAGCUCUUUCACCGAUGAAGAUAAUGACGGUAGUCGGAGAAGAAGCCCCGGCUAACUUCGUGCCAGCCGCCGCAGUAA